GGGACAGCAGCUCAGCCUAGUAUCGAAUGAACUCCAACUUCUACGUUGAAUCGAAGCCCAAGAUAUCCACAGACUACCAAAACUGAGAUCAAACUCCGGGAAACCAAAACAGAAUCCAUGUAAUUCCAGCGCAACGCUGAUGGAAUCAGUCCAAGAACGGACGGGAAUGACUAAUUCAAAAAAGCAAACUGAGACGCUAGAGCUCCGGUGAG
rnacentral:lncRNA from 1 species